ACCGCUCAAGCUCCCUCCUCGUCGAGCUCCCAUCGCGCCCCUCGCGCCCUAGAUCCGCCUCGCCGCCGACCCUGCACCUCCGCCACGCCCCGCCGCUGGGACCUCCACAAGGACCAGGGUGCCGCCGUUCCUCAAUCUCGCCGGAUUCGGCCGCCUCCACGCGCAAAUCCGUCGGAAAUGAAUCCACCCCGACCAGAUCCGCCCGGAUCCAACCGGGCCCCGCCGUCGUAGCCACCGGAGAGCCGCCCCGCUUGACCUACAACGCCUCUGUUACCUGUCCCUGCACGCAUCUGCACGAGGAUGAUGCUCGCGGCGCUCGCAUGGGUCGCGCCCCAGCCGGUCCGUCUGAAAUGGAUCCGCCCGGAUCCAACCGGGCCACGCCAUCGUCGUUACGAGGGGCCGCCCCGUUCUACAUACAGUGCCGCCACUGCCUGUCGCUGCAAGGGAACGACCGCUCGUCCCCUCGCUCGUAGCGCUCACAUGGGUCGGCUAUGACGCAUCAAGCCUAGGUCCAUCCCAAGCUCCGUCCCCGCAGCUGCUCCACCCGCUUCAUCUACUCCCAAUGCCUUUGCCUAAAAAAAAUCUACUCCCAAUGCCUCACCACUGCCUCCAGUGCCAACUCCGUCGCUACCAUCGCCUGGCCGCUUUGGCAUCGUCGGCGAGGACGGCGCUACGCGUGAUGACUUUGACAUCGGCGGCGGUGUCAAUGAAACCGAUCUAGCCACAAGCAGCGAAGGAGGCAACAUGGUUCAUGGAUUGGGAAGUUCCCUGCCUACCCCGCCAGCAUGAGGGAGUACAUUCCCUGCGUCGACAACGACAAGGAGAUCAGGCGUUUUCCCUCCACGGAGCGUGGGGAGCGAUUCAAGCGGCACAUGCCCGGAGCUGCCUCGUGCCAUCCCCCGAGGGAUAUAAGGUGUCCAUCCGUGGCCUCCGAGCAGAGAUGAGAAAAGCGACUUGGGCUUCAACCGUCCCGUGUGUUGCGUGAAGACUAAACAUCUCUAGCUGUAUACUCUGUUUGCAUGUUGGCAUCUCUGUUUUUUCAUCUACAAGGCGCCGGGGCUAUGCAUGCGCUUUCCAUCGAAAAAAAAAAAGGUAAUAGGAGCUGUUGAGAAUGUUGAUUCUGUAGCUAGCCGAUUAGAGAUGUGGAGAAUGAGUAAUUACACACUUCUUGUUACUCUGCUGUAGAAAUUUAGAACUAGAGAGUGGGUGGACAUAGAAAGUUCUUAGUUGUAAUCUACUUGAGACUGAAAGCUGUUAGAGUUGUUGUUGUUGGCAGAUGUAAUGGCAUGUUGUAACAUAACAUAUACACAUGAUGAGGGUAGUACUUAAUCUGGUUUUGUGCAA